AGAGAGACGGAGGGGAUGAAGGAGAGAGAGAGAUGGAGGGAGGAGGGAAUUGGAGGGCUGAGCCGUGGGGCUCUUUGCGCUUCCGUCUCGGCACCUAUUUGACGUCAGCUCACCGAGCGCAGAGGGGGCGAGGAGGGAGGGAGGUGCAGGAUCAGGCAUGGGUGGAUGAGUGAUGGAGAGAGCGCGUGAGUGAGGGAGAGCGAGCGGCGAAGAAGAUAUGUCAGCAACAGAAAAUUCACACGAAGAGACGCUCACGCCGAGGACUCGACACUCGACGCGAGCGACUCGAAGCAUCGAUGCGGGAGUGAUUUAAAGCCGAGAGGGACGCGGCUUAUAAUCGGAGGAAUUAAAAUAAGACGCGGGCUGAAAGGGGUUCCCGGCUCCUCCACCCGGCAGCCUUUCCCCAAGAGCCCUGGGGGCUGUGUGGUGGAGGGCCGUGCGUGACGUCAUUUAUGGACGGCCCCUUACACGCUAAGAGAAUGGCAUGGGAACGAGAGAGAGAUGGAGGAAAGUAAGGAGCGAGGCGUGGAGUUCUUCUGGGUGGCGAAUAGAGAGCAUUGGCUCCUCAUCGGCGGUGGUGGCGGUGACGAGUUAUUGGACCAGGGCCGCCGUUUGGAUUCGAACCGGGAAACCCCCCUCGGCUGGAGUGUUUGGACCGCACAGGGGGAGUUUGUUUCUGCCAUCGUCCACGUGCAGAGCCCAUGACUCAGCCCAGCCCAAGUCCGCUCUUCCCUCCGGUCGAUGUCGCCGCCUCGCGCGCUUCCAGAUGCGCUUCUGCGGCCGUCUGGAACGCUCUUCCCUUCAGAUGUUCGGAAGCCACUGGAGACUGUGCACUUUUAAAUCAUCUCGACUGACGCACUCAUUUCUUUAGAGCUCUUUUUG